GACAGCCCAAUCCACUACAUGACCCCUCCAACGAUCACUGUUUAGAAGUUAAACCCUUCACAUCAAGUCGCACAAUUGGAAGACUGAUUUAAAUCAUGUAGAAAAUGGGAAGUGUUCCUGUCUGCCGGUGAAGGAGUUGAAUAGAAGGAGUUGAAUAGAAGGUGUUGAAUAGAAGGUGUUGAAUAGAAGGUGUUGAAUAGAAGGUGUUGAAUAGAAGGAGUUGAAUAGAAGGAGUUGAAUAGAAGGUGUUGAAUAGAAGGAGUUGAAUAGAAGGAGUUGAAUAGAAGAUAACUGACUAAAGAUAGUUCCUUGGUGGACUGAAGCAUGUAAUAAGGCCAUCAUAGAUCAUCAUGCUUUUAAAACUUUGAAGAAUAAUUUGACAUUUGACAGUAUGAUUGUCUUUC